CUCAGAAUCAACGCUGGCGGCGUGCCUAACACAUGCAAGUCGAACGAGAAAGGGUAGCAAUACCUGAGUAAAGUGGCGCACGGGUGAGUAACACGUGACUAACCUACCCUGGAGUGGGGGAUAACUGAGGGAAACCUUAGCUAAUACCGCAUAACACCUACGGGUCAAAGGAGCAAUUCGCUUCAGGAGGGGGUCGCGGCCGAUUAGUUAGUUGGCGGGGUAAUGGCCCACCAAGACAGUGAUCGGUAUCCGGCCUGAGAGGGCGCACGGACACACUGGAACUGAAACACGGUCCAGACUCCUACGGGAGGCAGCAGUGGGGAAUUUUGCGCAAUGGGGGAAACCCUGACGCAGCAACGCCGCGUGGAGGAUGAAGUACUUCGGUACGUAAACUCCUUUCGAUCGGGACGAUUAUGACGGUACCGGAAGAAGAAGCCCCGGCUAACUUCGUGCCAGCAGCCGCGGUAAUACGAGGGGGGCAAGCGUUGUUCGGAAUUAUUGGGCGUAAAGGGUGCGUAGGCGGUUUGGUAAGUCUCUUGUGAAAUCUAUGGGCUCAACUCAUAGACUGCAAGGGAAACUGCCGGGCUUGAGUAUGGGAGAGGUGAGUGGAAUUUCCGGUGUAGCGGUGAAAUGCGUAGAUAUCGGAAGGAACACCUGUGGCGAAAGCGGCUCACUGGACCAUAACUGACGCUGAUGCACGAAAGCUAGGGGAGCAAACAGGAUUAGAUACCCUGGUAGUCCUAGCCCUAAACGAUGACUGCUUGGUGUGACGGGUACCCAAUCCCGCCGUGCCGUAGCUAACGCGUUAAGCAGUCCGCCUGGGGAGUACGGUCGCAAGGCUGAA
rnacentral:rRNA from 1 species